rnacentral:rRNA from 1 species
GGGCGCAAGCCUGAUGCAGCCAUGCCGCGUGUGUGAAGAAGGCCUUCGGGUUGUAAAGCACUUUCAGCGGGGAGGAAGGCGGUGAGGUUAAUAACCUCAUCGAUUGACGUUACCCGCAGAAGAAGCACCGGCUAACUCCGUGCCAGCAGCCGCGGUAAUACGGAGGGUGCAAGCGUAAUCGGAAUUACUGGGCGUAAAGCGCACGCAGGCGGUCUGUCAAGUCGGAUGUGAAAUCCCCGGGCUUAACCUGGGAACUGCAUUCGAAACUGGCAGGCUAGAGUCUUGUAGAGGGGGGUAGAAUUCCAGGUGUAGCGGUGAAAUGCGUAGAGAUCUGGAGGAAUACCGGUGGCGAAGGCGGCCCCUGGACAAAGACUGACGCUCAGGUGCGAAAGCGUGGGGAGCAAACAGGAUUAGAUACCCUGGUAGUCCACGC